AGGUUUGACCAAUUAUUUGCUGCAUUAAAAAGGUUUACACAUGAAUUGUAAUUCCUGUUAAUUUUGACGAUUUUUUACCCAGUUGUUUGUGUACGAUUUCUUAUUUUAAU